rnacentral:rRNA from 1 species
AGUGAACGCUGGCGGCGUGCCUAAUACAUGCAAGUCGAACGGAGUGGCGCACGGGUGAGUAAUGUAUAGCUAAUCUGCCCUCCACUAGAGGACAACAGUUGGGAACGGCUGCUAAUACUCUAUAGUGUAGGAUGAGGCUAUAUUGUAUCAGCUAGUUGGUGAGGUAAUGGCUCACCAAGGUUAUGACGCAUAACUGGUCUGAGAGGAUGAUCAGUUACACUGGAAGUGAGACACGUUGCAGACUCAUACGGGAGGCAGCAGUAGGGAAUAUUGCUAAAUGGGGGAAAGCCUGAAGCAGCAAAGCCUCGUGGAGGAUGACACUUUUCGGAGCGUAAACUCCUUUUGUUAGGGAAGCGGUACCUAACGAAUAAGCACCGGCUAACUCCGUGCCAGCCGCCGCGGUAAUUC